GACGUAGGGCGCGAGCGUUGUCCGGAUUUAUUGGGCGUAAAGAGCUCGUAGGCGGCUUGUCGCGUCGACUGUGAAAACCCGCGGCUCAACUGUGGGCUUGCAGUCGAUACGGGCAGGCUGGAGUUCGGUAGGGGAGACUGGAAUUCCUGGUGUAGCGGUGAAAUGCGUAGAGAUCGGGAGGAACACCAGUGGCGAAGGCGGCCUUCUGGACCAAUACUGACGCUCAUGCACGAAAGCGUGGGGAGCAAACAGG
rnacentral:rRNA from 1 species